CCUUUCUCAAAGAUGUGAUCUGAAAAUAUUUUCUCCCAGUCUCUAUCUGAUCUUUUCAUCCCCCUCAUAGGGUUUUUCAUAGAACAAAAGUACUUAAUUUUAAUUAAGUCUAGUUUACUGAUUUUUUUGUUCUUUUAUGGAUCAUGCUUUUGAUAGCACAUCUGAAACAUUUUCACUACUCAUGCCCUAGGUCUCCAAGAUUUUAUCUAAUGUUUUCUCCUACUCCUCUGCCAGCUUGCUCCUUCCUUAAUCUUAUGUUUUCUCCUAAAAGUUGUCAAUCAAAAAAAACCAAAAAACAAACAAACAAAAAAACCCGGAACUAAAACAAAAACAAAAAUCAUUGAUUGGGGGCCUCCGAUGUGUAAUUCAGGAACACAAAAGAUUUAACAACACAACACAAAUAGUGCACCUCCCCUCCCCUCUAGGAACAGAAGUCAAGGGUUUCUAAAAACAAAGGGAAUGCUUGAAUGUUGUUUACAAAGAAUUUUGAUUGGUGUUAGCAACAGAAAAAUAAUCUUGAUUGAAUAUAAUUUGUUGCUAAGACUAUCUUAAUUAAGCCUUUGCUUAACUUCUCUUAACAAGUCAUAGGUGUUCUGGCUGAGUCUUUUGAAAUAUUUGCAGUUUGACCUAGUUCAGAAGUUCAUGGGUCUGUCCAGUGAGGGUGUGCAUAAGGUCCAUCUCCUUAAUGACCUCUUUGUUCCCUUUUAAAUAACCCCAUUUCUAUUUUACCUUUCACCAAGUUGUACAGUUUUAUCUUUUACAUUUGAUUCUGUAAUCCACUUGGAGUUCAUUUGUGAAUUUAGCUCAGCAUACUUUAUUGUUGUUGUUGUUGCUGCUUAUAGAUAUCUAAUCACUCCAGCACCACUGCUGGAAAAAACUAUUCUUCCUCUAUUGAAUUGUUUUUGCUCUGUUGUCCAGAAUCGAUUGAUCAUUCUUGUAUGGACUAUUUCUGGGUCAUCUUUUCUUUUCCAUUGGUCUGUUCCUCGGCCAAUACCAAGCAGUUUUGAUUUCUAUUCCUUGGGAUUUUCUAUGUGGACCAUGAACUGCAAAUGGUUGUAUUUUCCC
rnacentral:lncRNA from 1 species